UAUCUACAACUACUUACCAGGAUCCUUGAAGGAUGAACAGAGUGGAACAACUAAGAGUUGAUUACGUCAAGAUGCUGAGCCACAUUAUGCAGCACCAAUAAAACUGUUGCUUCAACACAGUCUUUGUAAAGGAGGACUGUUUCUUCAUGAUGACUGCCCUCAUCUAAGGUUGUAUCCAAAUUGGUGGUACCAGCUUCGACUGUUACUAAGGAUGUACUUCGACCAUUGAGUAGUCGUUCCAAGAGCAUGAACAACAUUGAACAAAUCUUCAAAUGGAUCUUGAUAUGACAGCAUGAUCAUCCGGAUUCAUCUGCAGAUUGAACUCACGUACACAACAAAUUUUUCUUAUUGUGGAACAAUGACUUGAAUAUUAGUAUUGUUUGAAGCUUUGCAUGGUGAAGAGAAAUAGGAAGAAACUAUAAAUAUGUGUAUUUAACUUGUGGGUACACUCUUUUGUAUGAGUGUUGGCUCUGAAAAAACUCUGUGUGAGUGUUUGAUCAAGGCUGAUUUGUCAUGGUGUCCCAGACUGCCGUGUGCUUGAUGUUUCUUGAUUCUCAUGGAUAUGAAUGCAGCAGGUCUCCUCUAUGUGUCAUCGCAUUCGGAGGGAAUGCUGGUCUUCUGUGUGAAGUGAUGUUUGAAUCUUGUACGUUUCUGGGUUGAGCUUGGCUGAUGAUUUGUUGGAGCUUGUGAGAUGCAUGGCCGAUGUAUGGAAGGGUGAUGGUAGCCUUGAACUGCGGACUUUUGUCUACUUGUGUGAUGAGGAAUGGCUUGGGCUGGCUGCAGGAAUUGAAGGUCUUUUAGUCGUUGAGUUGUAGUGAUGUCUUGAUGUGAUGAAGUUCCUGCUUCAAGCUGCCUUGUUCAACUUAUUUUGUAGACAGAAUACGUAAUAACUUGUAAUGAGAUAAUUCCUUACAAGUUAAUGUAUUCACAUUUUUAAUGUUGCAUGUUUGUAAUGAGGUAUUUCAUUACACUCAUGCAAAACAUUCUUGCAAUGAAAUACCUCAUUGCAAGUAUGUCAAAGUUUCAAGUGCGUAAUGAAGUACUGCAUUACAAGCAUGAAACAAGUUAUGUAAAUUUGUAAUGCAAUUGCUCAUUACAAUUAUGAAACAAUAGGGCAAACUCAUUACAAAUAUAAAGACAACAAGCUUGUCAAGAAGUGUAUAUGAGUGGUUUAACAUUACAAACUAAUAAAAUUUAGUUUUACUUUUACUGAAUUUGAAUAUUGUAUUAAAAAUGAAUGGUACCUUUUAUUGUGUCGUUCCGUUAUUCAUCCAAACAAUAUUAUAAGUGUUCUGGGGGUACCCCCACAUGGUGGCCACCAUGUUUUUUUUGUAUUAGUUAUUAUUAAAGGACAUGUAAAUAUUGUGACUCACAUUGGGUUCAAUAACUGUUAUUGAGGUUUUAAAUUACAAUGGUCAUGACAUUGUACUGUGUUACUUGAGGGUGUUUGAGUCCUCAUUGUUAUGCUAAUUAAUUACAAUGUUCAUUGUUACGAGCUAGGUAGGCAUUAAUUUGUGCACGAUGUUGAGUUUUUGCUCAAUAGAGGGCGCUGUUCGCCGGGCACCGAGUACUAGUUGUUAUAUUAAUUAAUUACAAUGGUUAUAACAAAGGUCACAACAUUUAUAUUAUCUACUGUUAAUUGUGUUGCAUUAAUGUCACACUCGGUAUUGAUAUUCUUUAUACCUUGCAAUAGUUGAGAUUGCUCGUUAAUUAUGUUUUUUAUAAAUUUUAUACAAAGGACAUGACAUUAGUUUUAUUAUCUGGUGUUAAUUUUGUGCCAAAAAUGCCACACUAAGAUUGGUAUAUUGUGAUAUACCAUUCACAACAGUUUUAUAGUUGAGAGUACUUGUUAACAUGGUUUUUUUUAAUUACAAAAUUGUUGACAAGUUUGAUAUUCGCCUAUGUAGAUAGCUAUUUGAUGCUAAUAUCAGGGUUUUCAAGAGUACUUUCUCACAAGAGUGUUUCUUCACUCUGCAGACAAAGGGAGCUAGCCACUAUAGUAAUGACUUCCGAUAUAGGAUAUUGAUUGAAAUUAUAUAAUGUAUCUUAUCUUAAACAAAGGAAAGUAAUUAAUUGGUUUUACUGCAAGAAAACGGUACUGUAUAUAAAAUUUUCUUUAACCGCAUAAUCAUGGUCAACAACUUUAAUUGAACAAUUGAAAGCAUUUCUUAAGUCAUAGUUAUUAUAGAUAAGUUUAAGUGGGGUUUUCCAGAGUAUUUGUUAUCUCUGGUUUUUCACUCCGUAGGCUAGGUAUCAAAGGGGGGUAACAUUUCAAAGAAGCAAUUGUUGUAAUGGUUACAAACUUGGAUGUAUUAUGAUCCCUUUAACUGUUGU